CUUGGCGACCAUAGCAUUGUGGACCCACCUGAUUCCAUGCCGAACUCAGAAGUGAAACACAAUAGCGCCGAUGGUAGU
rnacentral:rRNA from 1 species